GAUGAACGCUAGCGGCAGGCCUAAUACAUGCAAGUCGAACGAUAGAAGAGAGCUUGCUCUCUUUGAAAGUGGCGCACGGGUGCGUAACGCGUAUGCAACCUACCUUAAUCAGGGGGAUAGCCCGAAGAAAUUCGGAUUAACACCGCAUAAAAUCACAGUACAGCAUUGUACAAUGAUCAAAUAUUUAUAGGAUUAAGAUGGGCAUGCGUGACAUUAGCUAGUUGGCGGGGUAACGGCCCACCAAGGCGACGAUGUCUAGGGGAUCUGAGAGGAUGACCCCCCACACUGGUACUGAGAAACUGACCAGACUCCUACGGGAGGCAGCAGUAAGGAAUAUUGGUCAAUGGAGGGAACUCUGAACCGGCCAUGCCGCGUGCAGGAAGACAGCCCUCUGAGUCGUAAACUGCUUUUAUUCGGGAAUAAACCUACUUACGUGUAAGUAGCUGAAUGUACCGAAGGAAUAAGGAUCGGCUAACUCCGUGCCAGCCGCCGCCGUAA
rnacentral:rRNA from 1 species